rnacentral:tRNA from 1 species
GAGGGUAUAGCUCAUUGGUAGAGUGUGUGCCUAGCAUGCACGAGAUCUUGGGUUAAAUCCCCAGUACCUCCA